rnacentral:lncRNA from 1 species
UAAUUUAAAGCAUCAUUUUCAUUCAAAUUUGUCCAUUCAUUCAUACAAAACCGUUUACAAACACAUACAAAGAAAAUUAUAAAAAAAAUGCUUCUUUGAACAAAGGUUGACUUUGGCUAACAAUUGACUUUUUGGUCAACUUUGACCAAAGUCAACCAUUUAAGACUUAAGACCUAACUCUAACUUCUUCAUCCAUCAUCCUCAUGAUCAUGUGCUUUUAAGCUUCAUGCCAAUUUUCUUCCAUGCCAUGCCACUUUCUCUUUGCACAUGAAUACCUUAAAAGGGCAAAACAAAGCCAUAAGUAUUGUCUUCAAGUUUAAAACAUGACUUUCCAAGGCAACCAUGACAUGUCAUUCAAUGGCAAUGUAAUAUCAACACCAUUGAUUUAGUAGUAGUAACAUUGACAUAGCUUAACAUUUUAACAAACUCAUAACAUUCAUUUCAUAACCAUCCUUGAAUUUGCUACCACUAACUUUUUCUUAACAUGAACAAACCAUUUCCAAUUUAUAACUAUGCAUGGACCAAAGCAAAUCGAAACUAACAAUUAAUCAUAAUUUCAGUUUUCAUAAUAAUGCAUUCAUCAACCAUUCCAAAACAUGACAAGUGCACCAAAACUAGGAACCAAAAGACUUCAAAAUCGCAAAUAAAGUUUCUAUGUGAUUACCUUACCACUAAGCUUGGGGAUUUUUUUGCCUUCUACUAUUGCUGCCCCUUUCAACAUAAUGUAUAUCCGUGGACUUCAUCAUUCAACAAUGUAUGAAUCACUAGUUCCAUGACCUACUGUCAGAAUCAAACAGAGAAAGCAAUUUAGCAUGAUCAUUACCAUCAUUUUCAUAGAAUUUUAGUCAUGACAAGAAUCAUGUUAGGGUUUCUAAUUUGCUAGCAGCAUUUAACAAGAACAACAGUUAAUUCGGUAUCUCAAUGCAGAGCUAAACCAACUCACUUCAGACCCAUAACAAAGUCAAUUAAUCACCAAAAACUAACUUCUAAUUUAACUAAUUCUGAGUUACAUGUCAACCUACCUACUAACCAAUUAACCAAUACCUACUGGAGUUCCACAUAACUGACAUAUUGACCUACAAAUAAACUAAUAUUAAUCAGUUUUCUAAUUGAACUAACAAGCUCAAACACUAACCCUACAGAACCAAUGGAUGAAAUAUAACAGAAAAUUCAAAAGAUUUCCAACGACACAUUCAUGUAACAAGGCUCAUUGCAGCUCACCAUUAGUUAACCUGGGUGUAGCGAUACAUAAUCUUUUCAUCCUAACCUAAACUAACUUAUUCCAAUUGCAAAUAACAGAAAUCCUGAAUUUAUAACUAACAUUACAUUUCAUGUGAAUUUCAUCUAAAUUUCUGACAUGCUUGGGGCUCUAUAUAAGCGUACCUUCACUGUAAUUUUGGGAGGGGAUUCAUUAUUCAGAUUUCAUUUCAAACUCUUCCAAAAGCUCUGAGAGUUCUGAUUCGUUCUUCACUCUCACUUUUCAUUCAUACAAGCAAAUUGAAUCUUCAGUCUUCUUGGAUUCAUACAUUCACACGCAGAAUCCUCUUCAUACAGGCACCAGAAACACACGAAUCACGUCACAUCAAAGGGAGAUCGAAGAAGAUUCAAGAAGAAGGAAUCGAAGACGAAUGAUUACCUCGUGGAGCACCGAGAAGCCGCUGUGCUUGAACGCUGCUUCGGUACACUUUAACCUUAUUGAAUUUAUCUCCUACUUGCAUUUCGUUUUGAGUUGGUGAUGGCGUGUUUGAGUUUUGGCGGAUUCUUCACGGCGUGUUCGGAAUUUGAGAUCUGAGCUUCAAUUCAGAUUCACGUAUUCGUUGCAACCUUCAACGAUUUGGAAAACUCAGGAGUAUGUUCUUUGAUUUGGAGUUUCAUAACUUGAAUCCAGAAUGCGAAGGAGAAUGAAGAACGCGAUGCUGAAUAUUGGAACGUGAUACUGACUUUUUCAUAUGAGCGCCUUUGUUCUUCAGCUUGGUGAACUUUCCCAUUUUGUAGCUUGGAUUAGGUUUGGUCCUAAGGCUUAAACGAUUUGUUCUAUGCACACACUUGCCAUGGACCUACAACUCCCUAGAGCGACCGCGCUUGGCUGGACAUGUGGCCCAUUCUGAAUCCCUCAUGGAACCCCUUUUUUGGCAACUGUUCAGCGCUUGGGCUUUGAGCUCCAGGCCCAAACGUUUUUGCUGGCUAACACCCACAUUCCAAACGCAU